UACAGAGGUGGCAAGCGUUGUUCGGAAUUACUGGGCGUAAAGGGCGCGUAGGCGGCCUUCUAAGUCAGACGUGAAAUCCCCCGGCUUAACCUGGGAACUGCGUCUGAUACUGGAACGUUGGAGUGCGGGAGAGGUAAGCGGAAUUCCUGGUGUAGCGGUGAAAUGCGUAGAUAUCAGGAGGAACACCUGCGGUGUAGACGGCUUACUGGACCGUAACUGACGCUGAGGCACGAAAGCGUGGGUAGCAAACAGG
rnacentral:rRNA from 1 species